GACGAACGCUGGCGGCGUGCUUAACACAUGCAAGUCGAACGGAAAGGCCCUGCUUUUGUGGGGUGCUCGAGUGGCGAACGGGUGAGUAACACGUGAGUAACCUGCCCUUGACUUUGGGAUAACUUCAGGAAACUGGGGCUAAUACCGGAUAGGAGCUCCUGCUGCAUGGUGGGGGUUGGAAAGUUUCGGCGGUUGGGGAUGGACUCGCGGCUUAUCAGCUUGUUGGUGGGGUAGUGGCUUACCAAGGCUUUGACGGGUAGCCGGCCUGAGAGGGUGACCGGCCACAUUGGAACUGGGAUACGGCCCAGACUCCUACGGGAGGAAGCAGUGGGGAAUAUUGCACAAUGGGCGGAAGCCGGAUGCAGCAACGCCGCGUGCGGGAUGACGGCCUUCGGGUUGUAAACCGCUUUCGCUGUGACGAAGCGUGAGUGACGGUAAUGGGUAAAGAAGCACCGGCUAACUACGUG
rnacentral:rRNA from 1 species